GCUGAUCAGGAAAAGCAAGAAGUCUCAGAACUUACCUUAGUGCUGAAAACCCAGCUCCUGUGAAGAAAUACCCAUUUGCAAAGCAGUCAGAAUCCACAGCCACCAUCUGGAGCUUGUCAAAUCCCGAAGAGCUCUGCCUGAUGGCUGUGGGACAUCGGACAAGAGGCUCAGUGUCUCAGAGCCAAGGUACAAUGAAGAUACGAAGACCCACCUCCCCGGUGUGUUGUGCAGAUGAAAAACUAUGAUGCAUAGAUACUGUGACUGACAGCAAAGUGAUGAUGAAAUACAGCCACCAAAUCUUCAGAGACCUACCAGGCAAUAAUUUGCUAUGGAAGAAACAGAGGAAGAAGCAGCAAACAGCAAUCUUGUUAACAUAACACCUUGCAAGAAUGAAUUUGGAUUAAAUGAGCAUAAUCUUAAAGUUGGAAAGGGAAACCCUUGGCGGUUACCCACUGAAGCCUCCGAUCCACCUACAAGGUUUACAUAACUGCAAACGUUCAGUCUAAGUCAUUUCUCUUGGUCUCUCCUGAAAACAUUCUUGAACUAUACUCUCAUAAAAUACAUAUAUGAUAGCUAAAGCCGUUCAUGUCACCAUGAUGCCUCUGAAAGGAAGUCUGUAGAAUACAGUUCUUCCAAGGGAAUCAUCCUUUUAAGACCUGGGCUUUCAAAAAUUUUUAUGCUGAUCUGAACAGAAAGUACUGCUAUUCAAGUAUGAAGGUGGCAUUAUUGACUAUAUUAGCAGGGUCUAAGGUUUUUUAUAUGCGCAUGUGACACAGAAAAGAUGGUACACAUUUCUGUAGUAGGUGUGGAUGCGUGGCCACCUUGUAGGUUUCCCUUCAAAACUAGGAAGCUUUUCUGGGGCACAUGGUCAAAGUUAGGAGUGCACAAUUUGUCCAUGGAGUUGAGUAAAGCCAACCCAUACGUAUGUACUUUGAAACUGUGAUCUCAGCAGUGUGGAAUACAGACUUGGUGGGAGAUGAGGGGGAAAAUAGAACAUAGCUGCCCAACUGCCAAGCAAUUAAUGCCAGCAAAUACACAAGCAAUAUUUUAGAAACAGCUAUAAAAAACAAAAGAUGUCUACUCUUGCUUCUCCCUACAGUCCUUUUCCUAACAGUCUGCUUACCCAUGCUGUAUUAUUUGCUGUAUGAUGCUUGUUACAUAUGUUUUAUUACACUUGUCAGCUUAGUCCUUAUUAUGUUUGCUCUACAUUAUACAAUAUAUCUCUUGGUAAAGGAGUAGAGUAAUUUGUAGGCCAGUAACUGUCAACCUUUCAUCUCCUACCUAGGAAACCCAUUUUUCAAACCACUUCUCUGUCAUCUUUCCAAAAUACGCAGCAAGUGCAAGCAGUCAAAACAGAACGAACUUAGGUCUUAAGUUCAAAAACAGUUAUUUAAAAAAAUCAGUCAGAAAUUGCAACAAUAUGUCACUGGUCUCUAGAAUGCAUUUUAAUUUUUUUCUGAAUAGUUUUAUACAUGCAUAAAUGGAAUUUAUUAACCCCCCUGCAGCAACUUGCAGGAAAUAGAGCUUGAAAAUCCUGGUUACAAUGGAAAAGAGCAGGCGUUAGGAUCAGGCAGAUCCAGGUUUGAAAGAGGUACCUACCAGCUCUAGGAUCAUGAGCUAAUUACUGUACCUCUCCCAAGAUAUUCUCCUUAUGUAUAUAUUAGAAAUCAAGGGGCAUCUGGGUGAUUCAGUUGGUUAAGCAU